UACGUAGGGGGCAAGCGUUGUCCGGAUUUAUUGGGCGUAAAGAGCGUGUAGGCGGCUUUGCAAGUCCGUUGUGAAAACUCGAGGCUCAACCUCGAGACGCCGGUGGAAACUGCAAAGCUAGAGUCCGGAAGAGGAGAGUGGAAUUCCUGGUGUAGCGGUGAAAUGCGCAGAUAUCAGGAAGAACACCGAUGGCGAAGGCAGCUCUCUGGGACGGUACUGACGCUGAGGCGCGAAAGCGUGGGGAGCAAACAGG
rnacentral:rRNA from 1 species